UUUCACUAUUUAUUUUCAACUUAUUCGAUCGCAGCAUGAAAUUACUCGCUUAUAUGUUGUUAUUUUGCUUGGCUGCCACCGCUUUCGGUUACUGUCGGAUGGUGUCAGUUAGAAUAACUACAACUCGAAGAGUUUGUCAACGAUCCUGCAUUCCGAUCCCUGGCCAAUCCAUUGUUUGUGCUACAGUAAGAGCUGGCCAAAUUAUUGCGCUCUGUCCGCCGACUUGCUGUCGCAUGGCCAAUUCCUGUCAUCUACCGAACAGAGUAUGAGGGGGACAACAAAAAGUUAUUAGAAAAUUUCAAGUAAUUUAGCUGUGACAGAAAAUAUAAAAAAGUAUUCCUCAAUUUCAAACUCUCUGUUGACUGUGAUGGAUACGGAUAUGCGAGUACUCGUAUAAGGUCCAGUAAAGAUAAAUACAUUAAUAACGCUAGUAGCCCGAAUUUCGAGCGUUUUUUUGGCAAUUAAUAAAAAA